rnacentral:rRNA from 1 species
GACGAACGCUGGCGGCGUGCUUAACACAUGCAAGUCGAACGAUGAAGCCGGAGCUUGCUCUGGUGAAUUAGUGGCGAACGGGUGAGUAACACGUGAGUAACCUGCCCUUGACUCUGGGAUAACUGCGGGAAACUGUAGCUAAUACCGGAUACGACCCUCGGAGGCAUCUCCUGGGGGUGGAAAGAAUUUCGGUCAAGGAUGGACUCGCGGCCUAUCAGCUAGUUGGUGGGGUAAAGGCUCACCAAGGCGACGACGGGGAGCCGGCCUGAGAGGGUGACCGGCCACACUGGGACUGAGACACGGCCCAGACACCUACGGGAGGCAGCAGUGGGGAAUAUUGCACAAUGGGCGCAAGCCUGAUGCAGCAACGCCGCGUGAGGGAUGACGGCCUUCGGGUUGUAAACCUCUUUUAGCAGGGAAGAAGCGAAAGUGACGGUACCUGCAGAAAAAGCACCGGCUAACUACGUGCCAGCAGCCGCGGUAA